UCCGCAAAUAGUAAACCUGCCGUGAGGCGGGGACACAAAGCCACAGACCCCAAGCGGGUGGCUGGGCUGCCGGAG
rnacentral:ncRNA from 1 species